GGCCGUUAUUAACUGUCAAAUUUCGGAAGUCACUGUUGGAACAAAAAAUUUAAGCAAACACAAAAUAGUUCGGUGUGUUUUGUUUUAUUUAUUAGCCAUUGAGAAGCUUUAUUGUCCUUAAUAAUAGUAAUGAAAAACUUUAUUUCUUUUUAUAAUGUCAGACAAAAAAAAAUAAAUCGAGAUAUUCCGCACAAGUAGACGAUCCAAUCGCGGCCAAUUUGCGCUUCGCACGACCGUCGUCAUGUCGCGGAAGAUCAAAAAAAUACUGGUCGAUUUACGAAAUGCCUGCUAACCCUCGCAAGAGCAGCUUCGAAGAAUCUACCACCGGCUCGGAACUGCAACACGCUGAGAAGACCCGGCCAAAAGCUCGGUGGGCAGGAGUACCGAGCAGCAGCGGUAAUAACUUACCCAAACGAAAUAGUUCCCGCCUUCCAGAUAAAAACAAACUUGAAUAUUUUUAUGUUUUUCGUCGGUGGGAGUUCGAAGUUGCCUUCGUAUUUUUCGUUUCCAGGACCGUAUUUUUUAAGUAUUUGUUUUUUUAAUUGAUUUUCCAUACUUUUUGUAAACUGUUUUUUAUUCUUAUUCGAAAUUUCUUUCAAUACAUUUAUUUUUAUACC